rnacentral:misc_RNA from 1 species
GAUGAAGAACGCAGCGAAAUGCGAUAAUUAAUGUGAAUUGCAGAAUUUAGUGAAUCAUCGAAUCUUUGAACGCACAUUGCGCCCCUUGGUAUUCCGGGGGGCAUGCCUGUUCGAGCGUCAUUUCAACCCUCAAGCUCUGCUUGGUCUUGGGCCGCGCCGGCAACGGCGGGCCUCAAAAACAGUGGCGGCGCCAUCUGGUCCCUCAGCGUAGUACAUCUCUCGCUCCAGGGUCCGGUGGCCGCCUGCCAGAACCCCCCAACUCUGUGGUUGACCUCGGAUCAGGUAGGGAUACCCGCUGAACUUAAGCAUAUCAAUAAGCGGAGGA